rnacentral:rRNA from 1 species
AGCAGCCGCGGUAAUUCCAGCUCCAAUAGCGUAUAUUAAAGUUGUUGCAGUUAAAAAGCUCGUAGUUGAAUUUCGGGAUCAGUGGGUCGGUCGUGCCAAUGGUAUGUACUGGCCCUACUGAUUCCUCCUUCUUGAAGAACUGUAAUGCCAUUAAUUUGGUGUUGCAGGGAAACAGGACUGUUACUUUGAAAAAAUUAGAGUGUUUAAAGCAGGCAAUCGCUUGAAUACAUUAGCAUGGAAUAAUGAAAUAGGACGUUCGAUCCUAUUUUGUUGGUUUCUAGGAUUGACGUAAUGAUUAAUAGGGAUAGUUGGGGGCAUUAGUAUUCAAUUGUCAGAGGUGAAAUUCUUGGAUUUAUUGAAGACUAACUACUGCGAAAGCAUUUGCCAAGGAUGUUUUCAUUAAUCAGUGAACGAAAGUUAGGGGAUCGAAGACGAUCAGAUACCGUCGUAGUCUUAACCAUAAACUAUGCCGACUAGGGAUCGGAUGAUGUUAAUUUUUUAAUGGCUCA